rnacentral:rRNA from 1 species
AGUAACACGUGAGGAACCUACCCUGGAGUUCGGAAUAACCAUGGGAAACCGUGGCUAAUGCCGGAUACCUUCGGAGCCCCGCAUGGGGCACCGAGGAAAGGUCAGCCGCUCCAGGAUGGCCUCGCGGCCUAUCAGCUCGUUGGUAGGGUAACGGCCUACCAAGGCGACGACGGGUAGCUGGCGUGAGAGCGCGACCAGCCACACUGGGACUGAGACACGGCCCAGACUCCUACGGGAGGCAGCAGUGGGGAAUCUUGCGCAAUGGGCGAAAGCCUGACGCAGCGACGCCGCGUGCGGGAAGAAGGUCUUCGGAUUGUAAACCGCUUUCAGGAGGGAAGAAGCGAAAGUGACGGUACCUCCAGAAGAAGCCCCGGCCAACUACGUGCCAGCAGCCGCGGUAAUACGUAGGGGGCAAGCGUUGUCCGGAAUUAUUGGGCGUAAAGAGCUCGUAGGCGGCCCUUUAAGUCGGAUGUGAAAUCUCAGGGCUCAACCCUGAAACCGCAUCCGAUACUGGAGGGCUUGAGGCAGGUAGGGGAAGGUGGAAUUCCUGGUGUAGCGGUGAAAUGCGCAGAUAUCAGGAGGAACACCGGUGGCGAAGGCGGCCUUCUGGGCCUGUACUGACGCUGAGGAGCGAAAGCGUGGGGAGCAA